rnacentral:lncRNA from 1 species
UUUCCUGAAAUCAGUACUGUCCCAUAAAACCAAGGAUGCAGGUUACCUUAUUCAGCCCCCAUCACAGUGAUUCUCCAUGUGGACCUGUCCAUGAUGUAGUCUGGUAUCCAAAAUACUCUCUCUCUCUCUCUCUCUCUCUCUCUCUCUCUCUCUCUCUCUCUCUCACACACACACACACACACACACACACACAAUGUACCCAGAGUGUCACAAAGCAUCCAGCAAGGGCUGGCAUAGACAAAUGAGAUACAGAGUGUUCAAAAGGGAAGCAACGAAGCAAAUCCUAAAGGGUCUUUUCCUAUGCAGACCCAGCAGAAAAUAAUAGGCCAGCAACUCUUCAGGACACUAAACAAGAUGAGAUUUUUUUCAGGUACUACUAUCGGUUGUCUUCAUCUCGCUUUGCCAUUUCCUGCUACCCUACAACCUGAGAAAUGCAGACAGAAAUGAGAGAGAUAUCACCAGCAGAUGUCUGGAAAAUCCGAUUCUCCCAUCGAUGCUAAAUCAUGCCCUCUGUGCCAGGACUUCUUCAGGAUUAUUGGACCAUCGAAGUUUGAUAUCUCUACACCAAACUGCUUCACUUUAUAUGAAAGCCCUUGGAAAAAGCACAAAGGAAGCAUAUAAAAAGCAUAAGAUCAUUUACAAACAGGGGCAUCUAGAAUCCCUCACACUUUAUAGGAAAACUUCCUCUUAUUUGGAUUCUGCUCUGGAUAUCCUCGAUGACAACGAAGGACAUACCUCUGGUGAGCAAAUAUCUUGUUUCAUACCUUGCUUGAUAUGUAUAAUCAGAAUGUUUUUUUAAGG